GUGCUCACUUCGACAGCAUGUGUACUAAGAUUGAAAUGAUACAGAGAUUAGCAUGGCCCCUGCGCAAGGAUGACACGCAAAUUCGUGAAGCAUUCCAUAUUAAA